UGGGGAAUUUUGGACAAUGGGCGCAAGCCUGAUCCAGCCAUGCCGCGUGAGUGAAGAAGGCCUUCGGGUUGUAAAGCUCUUUCGGUUGGGAAGAAAUUGCUUGGGUUAAUACCCUAAGUAGAUGACGGUACCAGCAUAAGAAGCACCGGCUAACUACGUGCCAGCAGCCGCGGUAAUACGUAGGGUGCGAGCGUUAAUCGGAAUUACUGGGCGUAAAGCGUGCGCAGGCGGUUGUGUAAGUCAGAUGUGAAAUCCCCGGGCUCAACCUGGGAACUGCAUUUGAGACUGCACAGCUAGAGUGGGGCAGAGGGGGGUGGAAUUCCACGUGUAGCAGUGAAAUGCGUAGAGAUGUGGAGGAACACCGAUGGCGAAGGCAGCCCCCUGGGCCAAUACUGACGCUCAUGCACGAAAGCGUGGGGAGCGAACA
rnacentral:rRNA from 1 species